CCUACGGGUGGCUGCAGUGGGGAAUAUUGGACAAUGGGCGAAAGCCUGAUCCAGCCAUGCCGCGUGUGUGAAGAAGGCCUUCGGGUUGUAAAGCACUUUCAGUGGGGAAGAAAGCCUUGGGGCUAAUACCCUCGAGGAAGGACAUCACCCACAGAAGAAGCACCGGCUAACUCCGUGCCAGCAGCCGCGGUAAUACGGAGGGUGCGAGCGUUAAUCGGAAUUACUGGGCGUAAAGCGCGCGUAGGCGGUCUGAUAAGCCGGUUGUGAAAGCCCCGGGCUCAACCUGGGAACGGCAUUCGGAACUGUCAGGCUAGAGUGCAGGAGAGGAAGGUAGAAUUCCCGGUGUAGCGGUGAAAUGCGUAGAGAUCGGGAGGAAUACCAGUGGCGAAGGCGGCCUUCUGGACUGACACUGACGCUGAGGUGCGAAAGCGUGGGUAGCAAACAGGAUUAGAUACCCGGGUAGUC
rnacentral:rRNA from 1 species